rnacentral:tRNA from 1 species
GGAGGGGUGUCCCGAAUUGGCAAGGAGCCGGUCUUGAAAACCGGUAAGCCGAAAGGCGAUGCGGGUUCGAGUCCCGCCCCCUCCGCCA